rnacentral:tRNA from 1 species
AGAAAAGUAAGCUAAUUAAGCUAAUGGGUUCAUACCCCAUAUAUAGAGGAAAACCUCUCUUCUCUU